CCUACGGGGGCGCAGUGGGGAAUAUUGGACAAUGGGCGAAAGCCUGAUCCAGCCAUGCCGCGUGAGUGAAGAAGGCCUUAGGGUUGUAAAGCUCUUUCAGCGGGGAAGCGGUACCCGCAGAAGAAGUCCCGGCUAACUUCGUGCCAGCAGCCGCGGUAAUACUAAGGGGACUAGCGUUGUUCGGAAUUACUGGGCGUAAAGCGCGCGUAGGCGGAUCGCUAAGUCAGGGGUGAAAUCCCGAGGCUCAACCUUGGAACUGCCUUUGAUACUGACGAUCUGGAGAUCGGGAGAGGUGAGUGGAAUUCCGAGUGUAGAGGUGAAAUUCGUAGAUAUUCGGAGGAACACCAGAAGCGAAGGCGGCUCACUGGCCCGAACUGACGCUGAGGCGCGAAAGCGUGGGGAGCAAACAGGAUUAGAUACCCUGGUAGUC
rnacentral:rRNA from 1 species